GCGGGUGUAGCUCAGCGGUAGAGCAUCAGCUUCCCAAGCUGAGGGUCGCGGGUUCAAUCCCCGUCGCCCGCU
rnacentral:tRNA from 1 species